AUGACUGUGAGAAAAGGGACUGUGGAGAGGAAGGGAGACUUUUCUGCACCUGGAGCUAUCAAACACACAAUUGGGAAAGCAACUCCCAGUGUGCAAGGGCAGACACAGCAACAGGAGUAUCUGCAGCACAGUGGAGACUGCUGAGAAGAAACAUGGACAGAUAACCUGAAAAAAAUGAAAGGUGGCAGAGGGACAUAGAGGGGACAGUACAGUCUGCCCAAACCCAUAAAAUGACUGAGUUGGAUUUAAACCAAGCCUAAGAGGAUUUAGCCACCAAAAAUACAGUGCACAAGGGAGACAAAGCUGUUCUCUCCAGUCUGUAUCAAGACAAGCAGAACUUCAGCAACUGGGGAGAAAGGACGAUCUGCCACAGCAAUGCCAAAAUUUCUGGCUCAUGUUCUUGAGCUCUGCUGUUCGUGUGUCAAAAACUGAACGUGUAACUUGAUUGCUGGUGAAGUCCUGGUGAAGAGGUUCUUAACAUUUUCUCUGAUCUACUGAAACUCAGCAGAUGGACACGACACAGUGUUCUUGGGUUCAAGUAAUCUAAAAUUAUUACGGACUCACUAGUUCUAACUGGUGUGAGUACAAAAUGUCCCUGAAUUCACUCCACUCUUAAAAGCUUACCAUACACAACAUGCUUUGGGAUAUUCAAUUACUGGAUCACAUACACUAACAACAAUACACUGUCCCCUUGUUAGUCAUGCCAA